rnacentral:rRNA from 1 species
AGGAAUCUGCCCGGUAGUGGGGGAUAACCUGGGGAAACCCAGGCUAAUACCGCAUACGUCCUACGGGAGAAAGGGGGCUUCGGCUCCCGCUAUCGGAUGAGCCUAUGUCGGAUUAGCUAGUUGGUGAGGUAACGGCUCACCAAGGCCACGAUCCGUAGCUGGUCUGAGAGGAUGAUCAGCCACAUCGGGACUGAGACACGGCCCGAACUCCUACGGGAGGCAGCAGUGGGGAAUAUUGGACAAUGGGGGGAACCCUGAUCCAGCCAUGCCGCGUGUGUGAAGAAGGCCCUCGGGUUGUAAAGCACUUUCAGCGAGGAAGAACGCCUAGCGGUUAAUACCCGCUAGGAAAGACAUCACUCGCAGAAGAAGCACCGGCUAACUCCGUGCCAGCAGCCGCGGUAAUACGGAGGGUGCAAGCGUUAAUCGGAAUUACUGGGCGUAAAGCGCGCGUAGGUGGCUUGAUAAGCCGGUUGUGAAAGCCCCGGGCUCAACCUGGGAACGGCAUCCGGAACUGUCAAGCUAGAGUGCAGGAGAGGAAGGUAGAAUUCCCGGUGUAGCGGUGAAAUGCGUAGAGAUCGGGAGGAAUACCAGUGGCGAAGGCGGCCUUCUGGACUGACACUGACACUGAGGUGCGAAAGCGUGGGUAGCAAACAGGAUUAGAUACCCUGGUAGUCCACGCCGUAAACGAUGUCGACCAGCCGUUGGGUGCCUAGCGCACUUUGUGGCGAAGUUAACGCGAUAAGUCGACCGCCUGGGGAGUACGGCCGCAAGGUUAAAACUCAAAUGAAUUGACGGGGGCCCGCACAAGCGGUGGAGCAUGUGGUUUAAUUCGAUGCAACGCGAAGAACCUUACCUACUCUUGACAUCCUGCGAAUUCGGUAGAGAUACCUUAGUGCCUUCGGGAACGCAGAGACAGGUGCUGCAUGGCUGUCGUCAGCUCGUGUUGUGAAAUGUUGGGUUAAGUCCCGUAACGAGCGCAACCCUUGUCCUUAUUUGCCAGCGCGUAAUGGCGGGAACUCUAAGGAGACUGCCGGUGACAAACCGGAGGAAGGUGGGGACGACGUCAAGUCAUCAUGGCCCUUACGAGUAGGGCUACACACGUGCUACAAUGGUCGGUACAAAGGGUUGCCAACUCGCGAGAGUGAGCCAAUCCCGAAAAGCCGAUCUCAGUCCGGAUCGGAGUCUGCAACUCGACUCCGUGAAGUCGGAAUCGCUAGUAAUCGUAGAUCAGAAUGCUACGGUGAAUACGUUCCCGGGCCUUGUACAC